GCAUCCGUAGCUCAGCUGGAUAGAGUACUGCCCUCCGAAGGCAGGGGUCACAGGUUCGAAUCCUGUCGGGUGCA
rnacentral:tRNA from 1 species